GAAGGUGGCAAGCGUUGUUCGGAUUUACUGGGCGUACAGGGAGCGUAGGCGGUUCGGUAAGCCCUUUGUGAAAUCUCCAGGCUUAACCUGGAACAGUCGGAGGGGACUGCUGGGCUAGAGGACGGGAGAGGAGCGCGGAAUUCCCGGUGUAGCGGUGAAAUGCGUAGAGAUCGGGAGGAAGGCCGGUGGCGAAGGCGGCGCUCUGGAACGUUUCUGACGCUGAGGCUCGAAAGCGUGGGGAGCAAACAGGAUUAGAUACCCUGGUAGUCCACGCCUUAAACUAUGAAUACUAAGUGUCGGCGGGUUACCGCCGGUGCCGCAGCUAACGCAUUAAGUAUUCCGCCUGGGAAGUACGGCCGCAAGGUUG
rnacentral:rRNA from 1 species